rnacentral:rRNA from 1 species
CCUACGGGAGGCAGCAGUGAGGAAUAUUGGUCAAUGGACGAGAGUCUGAACCAGCCAAGUAGCGUGCAGGAUGACGGCCCUAUGGGUUGUAAACUGCUUUUAUAAGGGAAUAAAGUGAGUCUCGUGAGGCUUUUUGCAUGUACCUUAUGAAUAAGGACCGGCUAAUUCCGUGCCAGCAGCCGCGGUAAUA